GCAUUGCUGAGGGGUCCCAUACUAGGACGAAACGGCCGUCUAGUGC
rnacentral:hammerhead_ribozyme from 1 species